rnacentral:rRNA from 1 species
AGUGAACGCUGGCGGCAGGCCUAACACAUGCAAGUCGAACGGCAGCACAGUAAGAGCUUGCUCUUACGGGUGGCGAGUGGCGGACGGGUGAGGAAUAUAUCGGAAUCUACUUUUUCGGGGGGGAUCACGUAGGGAAGCUUACUCUAAUACCGCAUACGACCUACGGUUGAAAGCAUGGGAUCUUCGGACCUUGCGCGAUUGAAUGAGCCGAUGUCGGACUAGCUAGUUGGCGGGUUAAUGGCCAACCAAGGCGACGAUCCGUAGCUGGUCUGAGUGGCGGAUCAGCCACACUGGAACUGAGACAGGGACAAGGCGACUACGAGACGCAGCAGUCGGGAACAGUAGGCAAUGGGCGCGAGCAUGAUCCAGCGAUCCCGAGUGUGAGAAGAAGGCCCUCGGUGUGUAAAGCCCUUUUGCUGGGAAAGAAAAGCUGCCGGUUGAGACCAAGCUGUACUGACGGUAACGAAAAAAUAAGCACCGGCUAACUACGUG